CCCAGACUCCUACGGGAGGCAGCAGUGAGGAAUAUUGGUCAAUGGGCGGGAGCCUGAACCAGCCAAGCCGCGUGAAGGAAGAAGGCGCCAGGCGUCGUAAACUUCUUUUGUCGGGGAACAAAGGGCGCCACGCGUGGCGUUGUGAGUGUACCCGAAGAAAAAGCAUCGGCUAACUCCGUGCCAGCAGCCGCGGUAAUACGGAGGAUGCGAGCGUUAUCCGGAUUUAUUGGGUUUAAAGGGUGCGUAGGCGGUCCGGAAAGUCAGCGGUAAAAGCCCAGGGCUCAACCCCGGCGAGCCGUUGAAACUGUCGGACUAGAGACGGCGAGAAGUACGCGGAAUGCGCGGUGUAGCGGUGAAAUGCUUAGAUAUCACGAAGAACCCCGAUUGCGAAGGCAGCUUACUAAACUGUGACUGACAUUGAUGCUCGAAAGUGUGGGUAUCAAACAGGAUUAGAUACCCCCGUACG
rnacentral:rRNA from 1 species